rnacentral:pre_miRNA from 1 species
UGUCAGCUUCCCCCAUCACACCGGAGGCUGUUACGUCAUUCUGUUGUAUCAGCUCCAGCUGUGAUGAGUGAAGAGGCA